rnacentral:pre_miRNA from 1 species
CUCGGAUUCGCUUGGUGCAGGUCGGGAACGGCUCGAUUUCUCGCUCUCUCCACGGCGAGCCGGAUCCCGGCUUGCACCAACUGAAUCGGAG